UACAGAGGGUGCAAGCGUUGUUCGGAAUUAUUGGGCGUAAAGCGCGUGUAGGCGGCUUUGCAAGUCGGAUGUGAAAGCCCUUGGCUCAACUGAGGAAGUGCACCCGAAACUGAGUGGCUAGAGUACGAAAGAGGGUCGCGGAAUUCCCGGUGUAGAGGUGAAAUUCGUAGAUAUCGGGAGGAACACCGGUGGCGAAGGCGGCGACCUGGGUCGAUACUGACGCUGAUGCGCGAAAGCGUGGGGAGCAAACAGG
rnacentral:rRNA from 1 species